rnacentral:rRNA from 1 species
UCAGAACGACGCUGGCGGCAUGCCUAACACAUGCAAGUCGAACGAGACCUUCGGGGUCUAGUGGCGCACGGGUGCGUAACGCGUGGGAAUCUGCCCUGGGGUGCGGAAUAACUCGGAGAAAUCCGUGCUAAUACCGCAUAAUGUCUUCGGACCAAAGAUUUAUCGCCCUGGGAUGAGCCCGCGUAGGAUUAGCUAGUUGGUGGGGUAAAGGCCUACCAAGGCGACGAUCCUUAGCUGGUCUGAGAGGAUGAUCAGCCACACUGGGACUGAGACACGGCCCAGACUCCUACGGGAGGCAGCAGUGGGGAAUAUUGGACAAUGGCGAAAGCCUGAUCCAGCAAUGCCGCGUGAGUGAUGAAGGCCCUAGGGUUGUAAAGCUCUUUUACCCGGGAUGAUAAUGACAGUACCGGGAGAAUAAGCUCCGGCUAACUCCGUG